rnacentral:rRNA from 1 species
UACCAGCACCCCGAGUGGUCGGGACGUUUAUUGGGCCUAAAGCAUCCGUAGCCGGUUCUACAAGUCUUCCGUUAAAUCCACCUGCUUAACAGAUGGGCUGCGGAAGAUACUAUAGAGCUAGGAGGCGGGAGAGGCAAGCGGUACUCGAUGGGUAGGGGUAAAAUCCGUUGAUCCAUUGAAGACCACCAGUGGCGAAGGCGGCUUGCCAGAACGCGCUCGACGGUGAGGGAUGAAAGCUGGGGGGAGCAAACCGG